AGUGAACGCUGGCGGUAGGCCUAACACAUGCAAGUCGAACGGCAGCACAGUAAGAGCUUGCUCUUACGGGUGGCGAGUGGCGGACGGGUGAGGAAUACAUCGGAAUCUACUUUUUCGUGGGGGAUAACGUAGGGAAACUUACGCUAAUACCGCAUACGACCUACGGGUGAAAGCAGGGGAUCUUCUGACCUUGCGCGAUUGAAUGAGCCGAUGUCGGAUUAGCUAGUUGGCGGGGUAAAGGCCCACCAAGGCGACGCUCCGUAGCUGGUCUGAGAGGAUGAUCAGCCACACUGGAACUGAGAAACGGUCCAGACUCCUACGGGAGGCAGCAGUGGGGAAUAUUGGACAAUGGGCGCAAGCCUGAUCCAGCCAUACCACGUGGGUGAAGAAGGCCUUCGGGUUGUAAAGCCCUUUUGUUGGGAAAGAAAAGCAGCAGGUUAAUACCCCGCUGUUCUGACGGUACCCAAAGAAUAAGCACCGGCUAACUUCGUG
rnacentral:rRNA from 1 species